rnacentral:tRNA from 1 species
UCCUGUGUGGCUCAGUUGGUUGAGCGUGGUGUUUGCAACGCCAUGGUUGGGGGUUCGAUUCCCACGGGGG